ACUAAGCGUACACGGUGGAUGCCCUGGCAGUCAGAGGCGAUGAAGGACGUGCUAAUCUGCGAUAAGCGUCGGUAAGGUGAUAUGAACCGUUAUAACCGGCGAUUUCCGAAUGGGGAAACCCAGUGUGAUUCGUCACACUAUCAUUAACUGAAUCCAUAGGUUAAUGAGGCGAACCGGGGGAACUGAAACAUCUAAGUACCCCGAGGAAAAGAAAUCAACCGAGAUUCCCCCAGUAGCGGCGAGCGAACGGGGAGCAGCCCAGAGCCUGAAUCAGUGUGUGUGUUAGUGGAAGCGUCUGGAAAGGCGCGCGAUACAGGGUGACAGCCCCGUACACAAAAAUGCACAUGCUGUGAGCUCGAUGAGUAGGGCGGGACACGUGGUAUCCUGUCUGAAUAUGGGGGGACCAUCCUCCAAGGCUAAAUACUCCUGACUGACCGAUAGUGAACCAGUACCGUGAGGGAAAGGCGAAAAGAACCCCGGCGAGGGGAGUGAAAAAGAACCUGAAACCGUGUACGUACAAGCAGUGGGAGCACGCUUAGGCGUGUGACUGCGUACCUUUUGUAUAAUGGGUCAGCGACUUAUAUUCUGUAGCAAGGUUAACCGAAUAGGGGAGCCGAAGGGAAACCGAGUCUUAACUGGGCGUUAAGUUGCAGGGUAUAGACCCGAAACCCGGUGAUCUAGCCAUGGGCAGGUUGAAGGUUGGGUAACACUAACUGGAGGACCGAACCGACUAAUGUUGAAAAAUUAGCGGAUGACUUGUGGCUGGGGGUGAAAGGCCAAUCAAACCGGGAGAUAGCUGGUUCUCCCCGAAAGCUAUUUAGGUAGCGCCUCGUGAAUUCAUCUCCGGGGGUAGAGCACUGUUUCGGCAAGGGGGUCAUCCCGACUUACCAACCCGAUGCAAACUACGAAUACCGGAGAAUGUUAUCACGGGAGACACACGGCGGGUGCUAACGUCCGUCGUGAAGAGGGAAACAACCCAGACCGCCAGCUAAGGUCCCAAAGUCAUGGUUAAGUGGGAAACGAUGUGGGAAGGCCCAGACAGCCAGGAUGUUGGCUUAGAAGCAGCCAUCAUUUAAAGAAAGCGUAAUAGCUCACUGGUCGAGUCGGCCUGCGCGGAAGAUGUAACGGGGCUAAACCAUGCACCGAAGCUGCGGCAGCGACGCUGAUGCGUUGUUGGGUAGGGGAGCGUUCUGUAAGCCAGCGAAGGUGUGCUGUGAGGCAUGCUGGAGGUAUCAGAAGUGCGAAUGCUGACAUAAGUAACGAUAAAGCGGGUGAAAAGCCCGCUCGCCGGAAGACCAAGGGUUCCUGUCCAACGUUAAUCGGGGCAGGGUGAGUCGACCCCUAAGGCGAGGCCGAAAGGCGUAGUCGAUGGGAAACAGGUUAAUAUUCCUGUACUUGGUGUUACUGCGAAGGGGGGACGGAGAAGGCUAUGUUGGCCGGGCGACGGUUGUCCCGGUUUAAGCGUGUAGGCUGGUUUUCCAGGCAAAUCCGGAAAAUCAAGGCUGAGGCGUGAUGACGAGGCACUACGGUGCUGAAGCAACAAAUGCCCUGCUUCCAGGAAAAGCCUCUAAGCAUCAGGUAACAUCAAAUCGUACCCCAAACCGACACAGGUGGUCAGGUAGAGAAUACCAAGGCGCUUGAGAGAACUCGGGUGAAGGAACUAGGCAAAAUGGUGCCGUAACUUCGGGAGAAGGCACGCUGAUAUGUAGGUGAAGCGACUUGCUCGUGGAGCUGAAAUCAGUCGAAGAUACCAGCUGGCUGCAACUGUUUAUUAAAAACACAGCACUGUGCAAACACGAAAGUGGACGUAUACGGUGUGACGCCUGCCCGGUGCCGGAAGGUUAAUUGAUGGGGUCAGCGCAAGCGAAGCUCUUGAUCGAAGCCCCGGUAAACGGCGGCCGUAACUAUAACGGUCCUAAGGUAGCGAAAUUCCUUGUCGGGUAAGUUCCGACCUGCACGAAUGGCGUAAUGAUGGCCAGGCUGUCUCCACCCGAGACUCAGUGAAAUUGAACUCGCUGUGAAGAUGCAGUGUACCCGCGGCAAGACGGAAAGACCCCGUGAACCUUUACUAUAGCUUGACACUGAACAUUGAGCCUUGAUGUGUAGGAUAGGUGGGAGGCUUUGAAGUGUGGACGCCAGUCUGCAUGGAGCCGACCUUGAAAUACCACCCUUUAAUGUUUGAUGUUCUAACGUGGACCCGUAAUCCGGGUUGCGGACAGUGUCUGGUGGGUAGUUUGACUGGGGCGGUCUCCUCCUAAAGAGUAACGGAGGAGCACGAAGGUUGGCUAAUCCUGGUCGGACAUCAGGAGGUUAGUGCAAUGGCAUAAGCCAGCUUGACUGCGAGCGUGACGGCGCGAGCAGGUGCGAAAGCAGGUCAUAGUGAUCCGGUGGUUCUGAAUGGAAGGGCCAUCGCUCAACGGAUAAAAGGUACUCCGGGGAUAACAGGCUGAUACCGCCCAAGAGUUCAUAUCGACGGCGGUGUUUGGCACCUCGAUGUCGGCUCAUCACAUCCUGGGGCUGAAGUAGGUCCCAAGGGUAUGGCUGUUCGCCAUUUAAAGUGGUACGCGAGCUGGGUUUAGAACGUCGUGAGACAGUUCGGUCCCUAUCUGCCGUGGGCGCUGGAGAACUGAGGGGGCUGCUCCUAGUACGAGAGGACCGGAGUGGACGCAUCACUGGUGUUCGGGUUGUCAUGCCAAUGGCACUGCCCGGUAGCUAAAUGCGGAAGAGAUAAGUGCUGAAAGCAUCUAAGCACGAAACUUGCCCCGAGAUGAGUUCUCCCUGACUCCUUGAGAGUCCUGAAGGAACGUUGAAGACGACGACGUUGAUAGGCCGGGUGUGUAAGCGCAGCGAUGCGUUGAGCUAACCGGUACUAAUGAACCGUGAGGCUUAACC
rnacentral:rRNA from 1 species